AGCGAACGCUGGCGGCAGGCCUAACACAUGCAAGUCGAACGAACUCUUCGGAUUUAGUGGCGGACGGGUGAGUAACACGUGGGAACGUGCCUUUUGGUUCGGAAUAACUCAGGGAAACUUGUGCUAAUACCGAAUGUGCCCUUCGGGGGAAAGAUUUAUCGCCAUUAGAGCGGCCCGCGUCUGAUUAGCUAGUUGGUGAGGUAACGGCUCACCAAGGCGACGAUCAGUAGCUGGUCUGAGAGGAUGACCCGCCACACUGGGACUGAGACACGGCCCAGACUCCUACGGGAGGCAGCAGUGGGGAAUCUGGCGCAAGGGGCGAAAGCCUGACGCAGCCAUGCCGCGUGAAUGAUGAAGGUCUUAGGAUUGUAAAAUUCUUUCACCGGGGACGAUAAUGACGGAACCCGGAGAAGAAGCCCCGGCUAACUUCGU
rnacentral:rRNA from 1 species